rnacentral:lncRNA from 1 species
CGCCCCGUGCGAAGCCACCGGCGGCAUUCUGACCGCGUCCAGUGGCACCCCGGCCACGUGCAGUGGCGUUCCGGCCGCUUCCAGCGGCGUUUAGGCCGCGUCCAGCGAGAGUACGGGGGCGACGGACAACGAGGUGGUUCCGGCGGUUGUCCUCCUUGAUGAGGCGAAGGAAGAAAGUAGUCAGGGGCGACAUCUCACCAGCGGCGAGUCUUUCUUCCCUUCUCCGUUUCUCUAUUCGCUCCUUUUCUGGUAGACAAGUGCUGAUAACGUGUUUGAAGAAAAU